CUAAAGGAAGGGUUGGGAUUGAUUUUGGGGGUUAUGGUCCCAAUAGUUUAGGAAUUAGGGACCAAAAAUAAGCAUUUUUGUUGUUUUCAAACAAUAACUUAUGUUUAAGUGUAUGAAUCUCUCUCAAAUUAUACCACAAGUUUUCAUACCAUGAAGGGAUGGUUAGUAUUGACUUUGGAGGAUUAUGGCUUGAAAUAUUUUGGAAUUAGGGGCAAAAAAAGGGGAAAAAAUAGGUUUUAUCUGUUCAAUGGACAUUUAAGACAAUUUAAAAGCAGUGAAAGAAAGGUAAUUCAAAAACAUUUAUCAUACAAUGUUUGGUAUGAUUGGAUUCACCUUCCUUACACUUCUUGUAAAUUAUAUAUAAAGAAAUAUCAGGAUUUGGACUAAUUGCAAAAAAGGGG
rnacentral:lncRNA from 1 species